UGGGUGUGUUCAGCGUAGGGGGCCUGGAGAAUGGCUUCUGUGUUCACAGCACACCCGAGCGGAAUCUGGGGCCAUUGUAAUGAGGGGCGGGGAACUGUGUCCUCUUUGUGAGCAGAUCCCCCACAUGU
ensembl:snoRNA